CCGCUCACCAGCGCUCGGUCUUCUCCACAUGGUCCUGACCUGCUCUCUGUGAGCCAGAGAAACAGCACUGGUUUGGGGGUGUCCCAUUCGAGUGAACGUGGGAGACCACAGUUUCCAGGACAACA
ensembl:scaRNA